AUUGAACGCUGGCGGAAUGCUUUACACAUGCAAGUCGAGCGGCAGCGCGGGGCAACCUGGCGGCGAGCGGCGAACGGGUGAGUAAUGUAUCGGAACGUAUCCUUAAGUGGGGGACAACUAGUCGAAAGACUAGCUAAUACCGCAUACGAUCGAGAGAUGAAAGUGGGGGACCGCAAGGCCUCACGCUUUUGGAGCGGCCGAUAUCCGAUUAGCUUGUUGGUGAGGUAAAGGCUUACCAAGGCUAUGAUCGGUAGCUGGUCUGAGAGGAUGAUCAGCCACACUGGGACUGAGACACGGCCCAGACUCCUACGGGAGGCAGCAGUGGGGAAUAUUGGACAAUGGGGGAAACCCUGAUCCAGCAAUGCCGCGUGUGUGAAGAAGGCCUGCGGGUUGUAAAGCACUUUUGGCAGGGAAGAAAAGACACUGGCCGAAUACGCCAGUGUGUUGACGUAACCUGCAGAAGAAGCACCGGCUAACUCUGUG
rnacentral:rRNA from 1 species